rnacentral:rRNA from 1 species
UUACAGAAAGUAAACGCGGAUCAAACCGCGAACUUCUAAACCUUUGACGAUUGACUCAUGUUGCCUCGGCGGGUUCUCCCGCCAGAGGAUACAUCAAAACUCCUGUUUUAACGGUGUUGUCUGAGCUGCAAGCAACGAAUCAAAACUUUCAACAACGGAUCUCUUGGUUCUGGCAUCGAUGAAGAACGCAGCGAAAUGCGAUAAGUAGUGUGAAUUGCAGAAUUCAGUGAAUCAUCGAAUCUUUGAACGCACAUUGCGCCCCUUGGUAUCCCGAGGGGCAUGCCUGUUCGAGCGUCAUUUCACCACUCAAGCCCGGCUUGGGUGUUGGGCGACGUCUCCUUUAGGGACGCGCCUCGAAAACGCUCGGCGGGCGUGGGCACCGGCUUUUAAGCGUAGCAGAAUCCCUUUCGCUUUUGAAAAGUCGGGGGCCUUCGUCUGCCCGGGAAGACCUACUCGUAAGG